ensembl:lncRNA
GAAAAGUUGGAUUGGACGAGUUCUGAUGGUCUCCCUCUACUUAAAGAUCAUAUUUAAGCAACCAGUUUUCCCAAACUUGUCUCUUGUGGCAGGAGUAGUAAAUAAUUGUAGUAAAUAAUUAAGGCAAUAUUUGUUUGCAAAACCCAACAUUCAGUCUUAUUUUGGUCAUUAGCAAAGCACAACUGACAAUAGUUUUAUUUUCUUACUUCAAGCAAAUAUUUUUCCACUCUGUUUUAUUAUAAAAAUCAACAUUUCAUUUGUUACAACUCAACUUAUUGGUAAUAAUCAAAAAGGGGAUUUAUACAAGGUGUCUGUUUUUAUACAGUUUACAAGUAAAGCAUUUAUUUUACAAAAAAAGGGAAGGGUAAGGGGUGUGUGUGUGUGUGUGUGUGUGUGUGUGAGUUACAAUGAAAAAGUGGACAGGGGCUGACCAAAUGUUGGUCAUUAUAUUAUAAAUACAUCCUUGCAAAGCACCAUUGUACCAAAGUCGAUGAACAAGAAACACCAGCUGACUUUAAGACAAUGACAAAGAUUAAAGCUCAAGAAAAAUGAAAAACAAAACAAAAACAAAACAAAAACACAAAGAAUAAACAUCUGAAAGCAGCACCAAAUCCUUCAUUUGCAAACAAGGCUAGUCCAGCUUAAGUUUCUUGGUAUCCUCUUUAUAAAAUACAUUUCUAUUUUUCCUAAUAACCUAAACAAUUUAACCAAGUCACAAUGGAUUUAAGAAUCAACUUUCAUUUUGUUUUGUUUUCAACAUGCACUUCUUAUUAGGAUACCAGAAUUAAAGUUUUUAUUUUUAAAUUCACAACCAACCUUUGGACUAAAAUGAAGCAUGGACAGUUAAGCAAAUGUGUACUAUCUAAUUCUUUGGUGUCAUCAUAAAAACAAUUAUGCUUUGAAAAAAAUCAAGAAUAUAAUCUACUUAGCAUUAACUCUGGGCACCUAACAAAACAUUUUUUUUUCUAUGCUGCCUUUGAUGCAAAAGGAAAUUAUUAAUUAUUUAAUAGAAGAUUGGCCCUAAAUUUGUAUUUAUUUGAUCAUUUCCUCUCGUGACAAAUGAAUGAUGGACUAAGAAAUGUUUGAACUAUCUAUUUUGUUGAGGGCAUUGAGAGCAAUCAUUUGCUUUCAAGUUACUUGGCUUAACACAGCAAUUCCUCAGUUUCCCUUCAGUUCUAAAGCUAGUUUAAUUAUGAUUCAAGGCUAAAGUCUUUAGAAUGUUAUUUAGCUAAAUGUAGUUCCCUAUUAAUAACCACUAAGGGCAAUUCAUUAAGCUUUUAGUCAAACACCAAUUUACAAAACUAUCAUUUUGUGCUUAUUUCAAAUGAAAAAUGACAAAUUUUGAUAUUCUUUUAAAAAUACUAUCACAGAUGUCAUUAAUGAGAAACAUUAUUUAUGCUAAUCCUUGCAGGAACAAUGAAUAACGUAUUAGUGAACAUAAGGAAGACUAGGGUCAUUUCAGGGUUAGAGAUUUGGAAAGAAAUAUAGACUUCUUCCCAUGAAUAAGUUUUACAAGUGUUUUAUAAUCCUUGACUCUAAAUUCCCUGAGGAUAUCUAUACCUCAAAUGCCUAAUACAGGCACUUUUUGAAAAUUAAUACAAUUAUUGUCUGGUUUUAUUAGCUCUGUGUUUCAUUCAAGUGUAUCGUCCUUGUUUACUUACAAGGCCAUAAGGACUAAAGGCCCUAGUAAUUACAUUAUGGCCAUUUGAAUGGCCACUACAUUACAAUAUGGCCAUUUGAAUGGCCUUCUAAUUUGGGAAAUUAGAAAUGUCUUAAAUAUAUAAAAAUCUUAAAUUCUUUACUAAAAACAUCACAUCUGUGCUUUGAUAACUGAUGAAUGUAAUCAUCUUCAAUAAGUCAGUGGCAUCUGGGAGAAGCAGGACCAUUUAGAGCAAAGUCUCCAAUGCCAUGAAUCCCACACAGUCAUGGAAGUUUCAUUAGCCAGCAGAAUAAAUACUAAAAAUUGACACUAAUUUCAAUUUUUUUUAUAGCAAUGAAAAUGAAACAGAAAAAUGCCACAAAAGUCACACAAUGCACUGGAUUUUGAGCCAGAAGACCUGGCUUUUAAUUUACUUAUGUCUCCUUUGGCAAGUCACUUAAAGCCUCUAUGUUCAUUUAUCCAUUUAUAAAAUGCCUACUUCAAAGGGACAGCCAUGUGAGAAAAACGCUUUGCUAACCAUAAAGUACUACACACAUGUGAGAAUCUGGAAUCUAACACUGAUAACAGGCAUAUUAUGUUUUAGGCACUAUGACUGGAUUUAGUUACAACUUAAUUCUCCAACCUCAGAUUUUGUAAAAUAGUGAAAAGUCAAACUUAAACCAUCUUAAGAAAUUUCCUCCCAAUCAUUCCCCAGUCUUUACAAACUGGUCUGUUCUAAGUGAAUAAAUACUCUAAAUGUCAUUUCCCUGUGCAGAGAACUCUGCAUAUCCAGGGCACAGCCAGGGCUUUCUGUUCAGACAAGGUACUGAUAGAGACCAGACUUAUGAUUUCACUGAUGUAGGAAACACCCCUCAUCAAUGCAGAUCAGCAACCUUUUCUGCAAGUUACAGCUUCAGAGAGCUGUCUCCAGUAUUGACAGAUUAAGUGACCUGCACAGUCUGACACAGCCACUAUGUGUCAGAGGAGCAGGUCUCUCCAGUUCUGAGUCCAGAUUUCCAUCUAUUACAUCUCAGCUGCCGUUUUGCACACAAGCUGCUUUAUAUAAACCAUAUAAUCAAAGAAUCAUAGACUUUCAAAGGCACCUUAGAAGUCACUAAAACAAGAUCCCUGGUCUACUGGUUCCCAGUCCAAUGCUAUUUCCAAAACAUUAUACUGCAGAGUCCAACAUGUAGGGGAGGCAUUCUUUAUGAUAUGAAGGGUUUGGGGAAAAAAUAUCAUCACAAAAUGUUUUAAUACUACUGUUAAUGCAAAAUAAAAUGAAUUUUAUCCAUGUUCUAAUUAGAAAUCUUAUUUCAAAAUGGAGAGUUUAAUUCAAAAGGAAAUAAACUCUUCUCAGAUUUAGCAAAUUCGACUUCUUUUAUAUUCAUUUUGUUCUUUCCAACAAACUCUCUACUCACUUUCAUUCCUGGUCAAACAAAUGUUCAAUAAUUCAUGUGCAGUUCACUUAGGCUUAACUGUCCAGCAAGGCCAAAAGCUAACAACACUUACACAAAUUUAUCUAUUCUGUCCUAACCAAAAAAUACUUCCAGAAACUUUUAAAGAAAAAAAGAGGAUACUGAAACUAAGCUGAAUUACCUUCAAAUGAUUUUCAAAUAAAAAUUGGCACACAAAUUAGUAUUUUGCAAGAAGAGACCAUUGCCAUCGCAGUACAAGUACCUGAACUGAGAUAUAACAAGGCAAUAUUCUUCUUAGUUCAUAUAGUGCAAAUUCCCACACAUGCACCCCUCAUGGUAAAGCUGCAUAUUAAAAAAAAUGUAAACAAGUAGAUUUCUCAAAUUCUGAUUGACACCCAGCUAUUGAUCACCUUAUUCUUUUCAUAAGGAUCAUGUUCCCCUUGUGUAUUACAAAUUACACCUUCAAUGUCCAUCCUGCCUUAAGACCAUAAUUGUGUUUUUCAUCGCUAAGAAAGGUCAUUAUCUGCCUGAAUGAAUAAGACCACUAAUUGGAAUAUCGUUUAUGGAAAAUGUAGUACUAUAACCUAUUCUUUGUUUUCAAAUAAUCUGAGGAUAAUUUAGAAAUAACCUUUUAAAUUACCUAAUUACCUAAGUAUUUUCAAUUACUUAAAAAAGUUACUUCUGCUAAAAAUAUUCAACAGCUUACACUGUUUUGGCAUUGGAAUUAGAGAGAUUUAAGCUACACUUUCACAAGGGCAAAAUUAGAUAACUUCUUACAACUUUACAAAUUUAAAUGAAAACAUUAUUUUAAGUCUUUUCAUUUUAAGGAGGAAAGAGCUGGAAACAUAUAAGGUGAUAGUGCUGAGAUCAUACCAUAUCUUGUCCCUGAUGACUAAGGAUGCAGCAGCCUUAAUACUUAGGCAGAUAAGAGUACAAAAGAUUUUUCUUUUCCCCUUCCACCUCAGUUUUGGCAACUAAAGAAUCAACAAAUAAUUCACCUUCCCAUUCAGUUCAAACAGAUUUCUUGUCUAAAUGAUUAAAUAGCAAUAAUUUCG